GCCGGUGUGAUGGAAUUGGCAGACGUGACGGACUCAAAAUCCGUUGGGCUAAUCACCCGUGCGGGUUCGACCCCCGCCACCGGCACCA
rnacentral:tRNA from 1 species